GACGUAGGGCGCGAGCGUUUGUCCGGAUUUAUUGGGCGUAAAGAGCGCGCAGGCGGUCGUUCAAGUCGCGUGUGAAAGCCCCCGGCUCAACUGGGGAGGGUCACGCGAUACUGAUCGACUCGAAGGCAGGAGAGGGAAGUGGAAUUCCCGGUGUAGUGGUGAAAUGCGUAGAUAUCGGGAGGAACACCAGUGGCGAAGGCGACUUCCUGGCCUGUUCUUGACGCUGAGGCGCGAAAGCUGGGGGAGCAAACGGGG
rnacentral:rRNA from 1 species